rnacentral:rRNA from 1 species
AACGAACGCUGGCGGCAUGCCUAACACAUGCAAGUCGAACGAAGCCUUCGGGCUUAGUGGCGCACGGGUGCGUAACGCGUGGGAAUCUGCCCCUUGCUUCGGAAUAACAGUUAGAAAUGACUGCUAAUACCGGAUGAAGUCUUCGGACCAAAGAUUUAUCGGCAAGGGAUGAGCCCGCGUAGGAUUAGGUAGUUGGUGGGGUAAAGGCCUACCAAGCCGACGAUCCUUAGCUGGUCUGAGAGGAUGAUCAGCCACACUGGGACUGAGACACGGCCCAGACUCCUACGGGAGGCAGCAGUGGGGAAUAUUGGACAAUGGACGCAAGUCUGAUCCAGCAAUGCCGCGUGAGUGAUGAAGGCCUUAGGGUUGUAAAGCUCUUUUACCAGGGAUGAUAAUGACAGUACCUGGAGAAUAAGCACCGGCUAACUCCGUG